UGUUGCUUCGGCGGGCCCGCCUUAACUGGCCGCCGGGGGGCUUACGCCCCCGGGCCCGCGCCCGCCGAAGACACCCUCGAACUCUGUCUGAAGAUUGUAGUCUGAGUGAAAAUAUAAAUUAUUUAAAACUUUCAACAACGGAUCUCUUGGUUCCGGCAUCGAUGAAGAACGCAGCGAAAUGCGAUACGUAAUGUGAAUUGCAAAUUCAGUGAAUCAUCGAGUCUUUGAACGCACAUUGCGCCCCCUGGUAUUCCGGGGGGCAUGCCUGUCCGAGCGUCAUUGCUGCCCUCAAGCACGGCUUGUGUGUUGGGCCCCGUCCUCCGAUCCCGGGGGACGGGCCCGAAAGGCAGCGGCGGCACCGGGUCCGGUCCUCGAGCGUAUGGGGCUUUGUCACCCGCUCUGUAGGCCCGGCCGGCGCUUGCCAAUCAACCCAAAUUUUUAUCCAGGUUGACCUCGGAUCAGGUAGGGAUACCCGCUAAACUUAAGCAUAUCAAUAA
rnacentral:rRNA from 1 species